rnacentral:snRNA from 1 species
GUGCUUGCUUCAGCAGCACGUAUACUAAAAUUGGAACGAUACACAGAAGAUUAGCAUGGCCCCUGAGCAAGGAUGAUAUGCAAAUUCUUAAAGCGUUCCAUAUUUUU